UUAACGUAUAGUUAUUCAUAUUUUAAUAGAAUUUACGAGUUUUAAUAAUAAAUAUAUAAUUAACGCAUAUUUAUUUUAGUUAAUUACAUUUUAAAUAUUUUAACGAUUUAUGAAAUUAAAAAUAAUUUUAGAAUUUUAUGUUGAAAAGAAUUUGAAUUACCAAAACACAUUGAAAUUUGGAAAACAAGCCUAAUCGAUUUUGGAUUCAAACGUAAAAGUUCAAUCCUAGUUCUAGCCCAAAUUGUAAAAGCCCAAAAUUUCCUACACAUGUGUUCAAUUCACGUGAAACAAACCUACUCCUCCCUUCUCCUCACUUCACGUGAAAACUAAAAAAAAAAAAAAAAAAAACCCAAAACCCUCUUUGAAGUCUUUUCACGUAACUGCUUAAUUGCUUCCCCUUGAUUGCUUGUGCUGCCGCCGUCGAGCCACCACCAUCGGCUGCUUCUUCCCUCGUCGCCCCUCUCCGUCGCCGCCGCACCACCGCUCACACCACCUACACUUUGCACCUAGCCGGACCGCUGAGCCACCGCCUUCGCCGCCGCCUCCGCGAGUCUCCUCGCCACCCGCACAACACCACCUUCGUCAGUCCAACCGACCGUCACUGCCGCGCCGCCUGUGCUCCGCCGGCCAGCCACUCCCUUCUUGUUUUUGGUGGAGAAUUCUCUUUAGGCGACUUUUGAAAGUGUUAAAGUGGCCUAUUAGUUGUUUAUGCAAGUCUCUAAGGAUCAAUAAGAGUUGCCCAUCUACAGGUUUGAAGAUGAUGCAUCAUUGGGAUCGGGAUUAGAGAGCUUAUAGUUCUAUUUGUUUAAUUAAGUGAUUUAAUUUGUUAACUUAUAUUUGAAAGUUGUCGUACUAUUCGUAUUUCUUUAUUUCCGUUAAUUGGUUUUGGACUUAAUAUGUAAUCAAUUAUUUAUGAACCUAAAAGUUAGUUUUAUGUUUUCC